ensembl:lncRNA
UUCUCAAAGUCAUUGGGGGCUCCCUCUGCCCGUCUUCCCAGCUCCCAGCGCCAAGCGAAGGAUCCCGCCCAACCUCUCUUAUUGGAUUCUCUAUGUCCUAGAGGAAGGAUCCCAUUGGCUGCUGCCGUUGUCUGUAUUAACGGUUCCUCGCGCCAGUCUGUAGUUCCGCCCCGGCCGCGCUGAACAGUCACCUGACCUUAAUCCUAGAGAGGUUGAUUGGCUAAUAGGCCCGUCCUGUAACGGUUCAUCUCGCGCGGGGAGAAUAGCGAGCCCACCUUUUCAUCCUUUUCAUUGGUCUGUAACCCCUCCCCUUGGCCUCUAAUUGGAAAGUGGAACCAUCAGUUAAGGCAAUUUUCGGAGGCGCGGCUGAAGAGAAAAUCUCGCGAGGAACUAUUCUUUCACCUCCUUCACUCUUCCUUCAUCUCGUCUGGUGUCUGAAUAGAGAAUUUAAAUCUGGUUGGGCGCCUACAAGGAACCUGAUAGGCUUCAAGGCGUGUCAAUCAAGAUGUGAAGCCUUCAAUUUCCCACCUUAAAGGGAAAGGCUCUGCGACCGAAGGAGGAGACUGAAGGUGAAGAACUGAGCGCGCGGUUGCGUGGUGACGUUGCAAGCGCCUGGGGCUUUGAGCGCGUUUGGCCGCGCCCUUGGCGCGCGGUCUCUGGGGUAUACAGGAAAAAAAGAGAAGAAGGUCUGGAAGAAGGCCUUGGAGGAAACCCACAGAAAAUGGUUAUUAUCUGGAGGGAGAUCCAGGAAAGGAGACUGAGAGUCAUCAUACAGGUAGGAGGAGAACCAAGAGACAGCAGUGUCACAAAAAAUCCAGAGAAGAGUGAAUAUUCAAGUGGUCAAGGGUAUUGAGUGUUACAGAGAAAUCAAAAAGAAAGAGGAUGGAGAAAAGGUCAUUGGAUUUGGCAAUUAAGAGAUAAUUAGUAAUUGGGAAGGAAGCAAUUUCAGUGGAAUGAGAAAGUCAAAAGCCAGACUGCAGAGUAAAGGCUCUGAGGAAAUAAGCUUUUUCUAGGAAUUGGGCUGAAGAGGAAAGGAGAGAUAUUUAUUGGAUAAUAUCUAUCAGGUAUCUAGAAAGGAUUUGUUUAUUUUUUGUUUGUCUUAAAGGUGGGAAGACUUGGGUGUAUAUUUGUAGGUAGUAGGGAUAGAACCAGUAAUAGGAAGAAGUUGAAGAAUGGAGGACUUAGUGGCCAGAGCUCAGAACCUGAAGUCAGAAAGACUCAUCAUCCAGAGUUCAAAUCUGGCCUCAGACACUUACUCUCUGUGACCUUGAGCAAGUCUCUUAAUCCUUUUUGUCUGAGUUUCUUCAUAUGCAAAGGAAAUGACAAAUCAUUCCAGGACCAAGAAAACCCCAAAUGGGGUCACAAAGAUCAGACACAAUUGAACAACAAUAACAAUGAAGAUUAGAGAGAUACAAAGAGAUAAUCUGUUGGAAAAGAUGAGAGGGGAUGAAAUCAGAAGAUGGAAUUGGAAUUGACCAUGACAAGCAGAAAAUCUACCUCUUUAUCAUAGACUGGAAUGAAGGAAGAGGGAGUGGGCAUGAUGUUGGAGGAUUUUAGAUAAGUAGAAGGGAGAAGAAGUAGCUUUAACAAAUAGUCUCAACUAUUUUAGUUGAAUGGGUAAGGAAAGAGAGUGUUAAGACUGAGUAAUGAUGUUGUCAGAUGCCUUUCCAUAUAAAUCUGAUCCUCACAUCUACACUCCUCUAUAAUCUUGGGUUUUGGUCAUAACUUCAGAUACUCUUUUUUUCUUUAAGUCAAACUCACAUAAUUGGAAGGGGUCUCAAAGACCACCUAUAUCUGACCAAGAAUCUCCUCUAUAGUGUUAAAAUUAAUUGUGAUUGAGACUGAAAUAUAUU